UUUUCGCGCUUCUCAGUCCCUUCCCGUAAAAACCUGCGAGCCCUUUCUCACGCCGGACGACUCGGCGGAGCGCGCAGACCGGAUCACACGAUGACCGGUGAAGGGAUGCGGCGGCCCGACAGCGAGCUGGUCUGGGCUCGGGGAGGGUCCGCGGCCCCGGCGACCCUGGCUGGGGCCGGUCCUGUCACCCUACGUCCCAGGGCCGAGCACGGACUGAGACGCAGAACGUUGCUGGAGAGGACACCGCUGCGGGUCAGCGCGGUUAUGGAAGGCGUGGUGGUUGGAGGAGGUGGUUGGCGAGCCGUGAAAUUGGAUAACUUUGAGGAAAGGAAGAGAUCAUUUCCUAACCUGAGCCGAAGUGCAAAAACACAUGGUCGAGACACCCCGGCUGCUGAGAGUGCAGAAGACCAAUCUAAAUGCAAUGUAGUAUUUUAAUGCACGUGCAAGGAAAGCCAGAGGAGAGGAUCUUAAAACCCACCGGGACGCAAGGAGACUUCAAGGUGCAGGCAUCUGUACGCUGGGGGAUUAGGGAUGGGACCAGCCUGAUUCUCUAACAUGUAUGAGGCGUGGCUGAAGAAGGUGGAUUGAGUUUUUGUUGACUCGUAAUUUUACAAAGCCGAUACGAGGCUUGCAGGUUAUCCAGUCAAGGACCGGAGUGGCGAGGCAAUGGCUGAAAGAUGAGCCUACAUACAGUUCCCUCAAGCAUGAACCAGGAAGGGGUGCAAUCUACAUGGGGCAGAAGUGUUUUGUAAAUUCCUCUGAAGUCCAGAUUGAAGUUUUUGGUAACUCAUCUGCAUUGUGUGCUUAGAGUGAAGGCUGAGGCUGUAACUAUCUCAGCAAUAUGACUCAGGCAGGCUGAAUGCAGUGUAAGCAGGUUUCGGCAUCUUUCGCUUUUACGUUCUCUCUCACCCCCUCCCCAAAGACUCUAGAGGAAGGUUGUUAUGGGUUGAAUUGUGUUCCUCCAAAAAAGAUAUGUUGAAAUCCUAACUCCUGGUAUCUCAGAAUGUGACCUUAUUUGGAAACAGAGAUAUAGUACAUUAAAGUAAGAUGAAGCCAUAUUGGAAUUGGAGUAGGGUAUCAAUUUUUAAAAAAUAUUUAUUUUUGAGAGAGAGAGAGCGCACGAGCAGGGGAGGGGCAGAGAGAGAGGGAGACACAGAAUCUGAAGCAGGCCCCAGACUCUGAGCUGUCAGCCCAGAGCCGACACGGGGCUCAAACUCAUCAACCGUGAGAUCGUGACCUGAGCUGAAACCCAAGAGUUGGACGCUUAACCGACUCAGCCACCCAGGUGUCCCUAUCUGAUUUAUAAUAGAAGACAUGAAAACUAAAAUGACAAGCAGAUACCAUUCUCCUCAAUCAUUUAAAUAAAGAUCAAAAAGUUUUACUGCAUUGCCUUGAUGAGGGUGAGGUGUCCACAUGUUGGUGAAAAAUGUCAAUUGCUGCACGAAAGCACUUGCUAUAUCUAUUAACAAUGUAAAUACAUAUAUCCUUUGAUUGCACAAUGUCACUUCCAGGAUUUUUAACAAUAGACUAUUUUUCAGAGCGGUUUUAGGUUCACAACAAAAUUGAAAGGAAGAUACAGAAUUUCCCACCUGCCCCGUGC